rnacentral:rRNA from 1 species
GCCUGAUCCAGCCAUGCCGCGUGCAGAUGACGGUCCUAUGGAUUGUAAACUGCUUUUAUACAGGAAGAAACCCUGGUUCGUGAACCAGCUUGACGGUACUGUAAGAAUAAGGAUCGGCUAACUCCGUGCCAGCAGCCGCGGUAAUACGGAGGAUCCAAGCGUUAUCCGGAAUCAUUGGGUUUAAAGGGUCCGUAGGCGGUUUAGUAAGUCAGUGGUGAAAGCCCAUCGCUCAACGGUGGAACGGCCAUUGAUACUGCUAAACUUGAAUUAUUAGGAAGUAACUAGAAUAUGUAUUGUAGCGGUGAAAUGCUUAGAGAUUACAUGGAAUACCAAUUGCGAAGGCAGGUUACUACUAAUUGAUUGACGCUGAUGGACGAAAGCGUGGGUAGCGAACAGGAUUAGAUACCCUGGUAGUCCACGCCGUAAACGAUGGAUACUAGCUGUUGGGGGCAACUUCUGUGGCUAAGCUAAAGUGAUAAGUAUCCCACCUGGGGAGUACGUUCGCAAGAAUGAAACUCAAAGGAAUUGACGGGGGCCCGCACAAGCGGUGGAGCAUGUGGUUUAAUUCGAUGAUACGCGAGGAACCUUACCAAGGCUUAAAUGUAGUUUGACCGAU